UUUUUUUUUUUUUGGUCAAUGGAGAGGUUUUUAACAAUAUGAAAAGUAUUUAACCAUUUGAAAACAUUAUCUUGCUCAUGGGGUACAUGGAAUGAUGCUGCCUCACGUGGGAUGAUGCUCCCUUUCUUUGCUGGUUUUCAGUUUUUUUAGCAUGUCUUUGCAUUUGUUUAUUACAAGUGUAUCUCCUUGGGAGGCUUAAAGCGCUGUGAAAGCGAGAGGGGAGCGGUGUGAGAUAAUAAAGAAACGUGCUUGGGAGUGGCGUUUGCUCACUUUUCUAUUCCUACUGCCCAACCAAACCCAUAAGAAACCAUCUCUCUCUCUCUCUCUCUCUCUCUCUCUCUCUCUCUCUCUCUCAAAAUACUGUUGUAUUUGGCCAAUGACUGAUGAAGAUUUUAGUUGUGCAAAAGAAGAAUAAUGCUUGGCUUUUCAAAGUUGAAGAGGAGUUUCUCCUCAAAACACUUUAUAUUUCAUUCACAAAAUUUCGUAUAUGUAGUCAAAGUUGUUCAUCUUAUAAAUAACUUUGAAAAUUUCAUUUCUUAAAAAUAUCAUUUUAAACUAAUGUCAUUUAGCUAAUCAAUUAUGGCAAAUAGAUUGACAGUUCAUAAUAUUUUAGCCGAAUUUGUCUAUUUGUAGGUUGUGCACUCGUUGAUUUAAAAAUUCAUAGGCUUCAGAUUGGUUUUAUCUAAUUUACUGCCACUAUGACAUUCUAAACUAAUAAUGCACUAAUAAGUUCAUUAUCUAGAUACUACGAUGAUGUGCCCAUGUAGGUUAGUCCUAGUUGAGACUAAAUUGAAUUCUGGUGUGAUUGGUAGUGGUAAUUAUUGUGUCAUGCCUUGUUAUGGUGAAAGCAAACUAAAUAGAUCUUAGACUCUUAAUAGUAACCCAUUAAUAACUCAGUAGAUUGAUUUGUCACAUGUGGUCGAAAAGACAAUUCCAAAUCUUAGGUAGUCUCCAAUAGUGAAGGAUUAUACUUUUAUGGCUCGUUUGUUUGACCUCUUUAGCUAGGAUUGGACUAGCUAAGACUAAUAACCCACGUUUGGCAUGGCUAUGGACUAAGUUAAAUGGGACUAACUCGGACUCACAUGGGCUACAGGCCUCAUUAAGUCGUCCUAAUUAGUCUGACCCAAAAGCAUGGGAUUGCUAAGAACCUCAAUAUGUUGCCUUCCCUCGCCGUCUCCUUCGCGUGAAUUGGUGGGAGCGAAUCGUUGUUCUUCGUCAAAGCUAUUGAUCCUUUGUCAAGAAAUUCCAAUAAAAAUUUUCAAAGCUCUUGUUGAAGCUCUACCAUGUAGCUUGACAACUGUGUCCUAUUUCUGAUGGGUGAGUAGAUCGGGGCACGGGAGGCUGAAAAAGCACUGCCCAGAUGAAGAUUGAAGACAAUGGAACAAAUUGUCAAAUUCCAGUUUCGUCAAUUUUGGAGGAGAGAGAGGAUAAAACGGUGGUGUUCUACUGGAUUUGAUCUUUUAUUAUUUGUUCUUUUUAUUAGUUUUUAAUUUUUCUUUUGUAAAGCAAGUGUGGAUUAAAAAUGAAAAGGAAAAAAAAAACGAUUUGAGUCCUAAAAUAUUUUAUUCUAUAAUUUAAUCCAGUAAUGUAUCAAACACUUCACUAUUUUUAUCCUCUUUAGUCCAAGUCAAGCUAGUUCAGCUUAAUCCAUAAGGCUAGUCUAGUCCGAAAUAAUAGCAAACGCACCCUUAGCCCUCUAUAAUUUUGUAGUGUGAAAUUCCCUUGUUUUAAUUUUUUUAUGAAUUAGAAAAAGGUAAUUAAUA